rnacentral:rRNA from 1 species
ACGGGUGAGUAACACGUGGGUAAUCUCCCUUGGUGAUCGGGAUAACAGCGGGAAACUGCUGCUAAUACCGGAUAAUCUUCAUGUUUAACUUCAUGGGGUAAAGGUGGCCCCUGCUUGCAAGCUACCACAUCAAGAUGAGCCCGCGUCUCAUUAGCUAGUUGGUAGGGUAAUGGCCUACCAAGGCUACGAUGAGUAGCUGGUCUGAGAGGAUGACCAGCCACACUGGGACUGGAACACGGCCCAGACUCCUACGGGAGGCAGCAGUGGGGAAUAUUGCGCAAUGGGCGGAAGCCUGACGCAGCGACGCCUCGUGAGGGAUGAAGGUCUUCGGAUCGUAAACCUCUGUCAAGAGGGAAGAAACCCUUGGAUUCGAAUAGGGUCCUUGGCUGACGGUACCUCAAAAGGAAGCACCGGCUAACUCCGUGCCAGCAGCCGCGGUAAUACUGAGGGUGCAAGCGUUAAUCGGAAUCACUGGGCGUAAAGCGCUCGUAGGCGGUUUGGUCAGUCAGAUGUGAAAGCCCUCGGCUUAACCGGGGAACUGCAUUUGAUACUGCCAGACUUGAGUGUCGGAGAGGGUGGCGGAAUUCCGGGUGUAGGAGUGAAAUCCGUAGAUGUCCGGAGGAACACCAGUGGCGAAGGCGGCCACCUGGACGACAACUGACGCUGAGGAGCGAAAGCGUGGGGAGCAAACAGGAUUAGAUACCCUGGUAGUCCACGCGGUAAACGAUGGAUGCUGGGUGUCGGGGGUUUACCUUCGGUGCCGCAGUAACGCGUAAGCAUC